CUCCAGAUGUUGCUGAAUUACAACUCCCAUGAUUCUUGCAAUGAAUCGGCCAGUGAAUUAUGGGAGUUGUAGUUCAGCAACAUCUGGGG